UAUCUCUGUAGAGUCUGCAUAUCAAUAAGCGGAGGAAAAGAAACUAACAAGGAUUCCCUUAGUAACGGCGAGUGAAGCGGGAAGAGCUCAAAUUUGAAAUCUUCAAGGUUCUACCUUGACGAAUUGUAGUUUAAAGAAGUGUUUUCUGUUUGAUGAGUAGCAAAAGUUCCUUGGAAUGGGACAUCAUAGAGGGUGAGAAUCCCGUAUUUGGUUAUUCAUUCUAGCUUUGUGAUACACUUUCAAAGAGUCGGAUUGUUUGGGAAUGCAGUCCAAAAUGGGUGGUAAAUUUCAUCUAAAGCUAAAUAUUGGCGAGAGACCGAUAGCGAACAAGUACCGUGAGGGAAAGAUGAAAAGAACUUUGAAAAGAGAGUUAAACAGUACGUGAAAUUGUCAAAAGGGAAGCGUUUGACACCAGUGUUGUUUUUCCGAAAAUCAAUUACGAAUGGCUUGAUUUUGUGUUGUAUUGACCUUAUCAGCUUUCUUCACUUUUUUCGAGUCUUUCUUAAUGCACUUUUUGGUUAACAAGUCAACAUCAAUUUCUUUUGUUGUAAAAGAGUAUUCGGAAGGUGGCUUUCUUUUCGGAGAAAGUGUUUAUAGCCCUAUACUUCUACAAUCGGAGAGAUUGAGGUCUGCAGCGUAGAUCCUUCGGGGUUAGAUACACUUGUGCUAAGUUGUAGCUUUUCAUAGACAACUUGUUGACUAUGUUUAGUCAUGCGGCUUACUCGCUUGUGCUAUUUUACCUACGCUUAGGAUGUUGACUGAUAUGUAGUCGUA
rnacentral:rRNA from 1 species